CACGUUAGUGCGAGCCCUCCCGGAACCCAUAGAGAUUGCAUUGCAGCCAUAGACAGAUUGCAGCGCCUGCAGUUCGAAAAAAAAAUCUUUGACUGGAAGUCUAUGGGAGCAGUCGGGGCAAAUCUCCGCCAGAGCCAUAGAGAGAGAGAGUUGCGACAACUCCAUAGACUCCAAUGGAACGGUUUUUUACAGCAAUGGCGGCUCGUGGAGCCUCUCAAUAGGUCCCGGAAGUAGCAGCCGCGCCGUAGAGUUACAGCAGAACAGACCGUUUGUGAUGUACUUUUAAAAGCACAAAGGGGAUUCAGAUCCUGAAGACUCCAUGCAAUGAUGCUAUCACCGCCAGUCUCUGCUCCUUGGAUUUUGCAAGCUUUUCCUUGCUCCUUAUUUUUAAUAAACCUUUAAUAAACAUAAAA